GGCCGAUGAUGUGAUAUUAUUGUUCGUACCAUUUGAGAUUUGACGACUAUGUCAUCUCUUUGAUGCUCUUUCGACUUCUGAGGCCU